AAACAAGGGAUGGCUUUCUCGCGGCCGCGGGGCAACCCGCGGUCCGGGAGGGCAACCCGCGGUCCGGGAGUGCCACCCCGCGGGCGUCUGUCCCGGCGUCGGAGUGACGCACUUCUCCCCCGGUAGAACGUCGCGAUCCNAUGGCCCCUGGUGGAGCCUGUUUCGCCGCGCAUGACCCCGGGGAUCCCGGCCGGGUGCCCGACGGUAUGAAAAGAGGAAGGAGUCGGCGCGCCUCUCGCAGGCGUCCGCCCCUCCGCAAGCGCCCGCGGGAGAGGGAGGUCCGGGCCCGGCCCGGCCUCCACCUUCAACGGGGCUGUUUGCGAUCCGGAGGUGUGCUCGGAC
rnacentral:rRNA from 1 species